GGUAUAAAAAAGGCUUCUGUGAAACCAGCUUUGGUAUAUUAGCUUUACGGUCGGAGUUAUUCAUAAUUCACAGUUCUCCAAUUAAGAUUAGAUGAUGUAUAAUUAUUUUUAUAUAAAUACGCUUUGCACUGCAAUUGUAUGGCCAUAUUGCUAAUUCAAGUCAAUCAAUUUGAAUAUAAUAUCUUUCCAAUUAACGGGUAUAUAAGUAAAUUAGAUGUUUAGUAUCAGUGAAUAGUUAAUUGUGUGUGUAAGUGUUAGUAAAUAGUUAGGGUAUGAAUAAAUUACGUAGUAAUACAAUCAUCUAAAUAUCGGAAAAAGAAUGGAAUGUUUAUAUUAAGUUUGCUUAGAACCGUUUCCUCAAGAUUUUCCAUUACCAAUUGUGCUAUAACAUUUGAAAUGAAGGCUCCCACAGCACAACAAUCAAUUUGUUUGUGUAUUUCAUUUUAAUAUUUGAAGUCUAAGAAAUUAAAGAAAUUUAUAUACGAGUUUAUUCGAUAUUAAUGGAAACGUAAAUCGGCGACAAAAUAAUUGGUGUCCUUUUAUAGAUGAUAACUUAAAUGGUGCGGCGUGCUUAGAUUUAUUGGAAAAGUAGUAUAUAGUAUUAUACCUGAGAUGACUCGAAUAUUUCCCAAUCCAAUUGUAGGUUUUCUGCGCCAUGAUUUGGAUAAAUAUUUUACUGUACCAGUUUCGUUAAACUUUACUAACUUACUGACACUAGAUCUUAUUACGAAAUUUUUAUUAGCACAUAUAUUAUUAAAGAAUAUUCCAAUUAAACAAGUUUAUUCAAUCGUAGCCAUCUAAAUGUACAAUAAUUAUUGUAUAACUCCGAAAUUAUUGCAUUUAGGUAUGGAGAAUAUUACAUGGGAAAUAAUCAAUUUUUCUUAGCGAUUUCUAAAACCAUAUAUAUUGUUAUGGUAUUAUAGUGUGUAAUGUUUAUUUUUAUAAAUUUUAUUUUAAAUAAAAUCCGAUUUUAAUUUGGGAGCCAUUAGUAAUUAUUUGAAUUUCUUUAUUUUAUUAUGUUAUUAUUAUUUUUUUUAUUCUCAGGGUAUUAUAUUGUGAGGUCAAAUUAAAAAAUUUUAUUGCGAUAAAUUGUUAUGGUUAUAAGGUCAGAUUAUAAUAGUUUUAAGACCGGGUCUGUUCUUUAUAAUGAAUAAAAUAUUCAAAAUAUACAAUUUCUUAACUAGCUA